rnacentral:rRNA from 1 species
UACGUAGGGUGCGAGCGUUGUCCGGAAUUAUUGGGCGUAAAGAGCUUGUAGGCGGUUUGUCGCGUCUGCUGUGAAAUCUCAAGGCUCAACCUUGAGCUUGCAGUGGGUACGGGCAGACUAGAGUGUGGUAGGGGAGACUGGAAUUCCUGGUGUAGCGGUGAAAUGCGCAGAUAUCAGGAGGAACACCGAUGGCGAAGGCAGGUCUCUGGGCCACCACUGACGCUGAGAAGCGAAAGCAUGGGGAGCGAACAGG